rnacentral:rRNA from 1 species
CUUGCAAACUAAAGAUGGCGACCGGCGCACGGGUGAGCAACACGUAUCCAACCUGCCGAUAACUCGGGGAUAGCCUUUCGAAAGAAAGAUUAAUAUCCGAUGGUAUAUUAAAACCGCAUGGUUUUACUAUUAAAGAAUUUCGGUUAUCGAUGGGGAUGCGUUCCAUUAGUUUGUUGGCGGGGUAACGGCCCACCAAGACUACGAUGGAUAGGGGUUCUGAGAGGAAGGUCCCCCACAUUGGAACUGAGACACGGUCCAA